GAUGAACGCUAGCGGCAGGCUUAAUACAUGCAAGUCGAGGGGUAGCAAGAUUGUAGCAAUACAAUUGUUGACGACCGGCAAACGGGUGCGGAACACGUACACAACCUUCCUACAAGUGGGGAAUAGCCCAGAGAAAUUUGGACUAAUACCCCGUAACAUAGCGAUGUGGCAUCACAUUGUUAUUAUAGCUUCGGCGCUUCUUGAUGGGUGUGCGGCUGAUUAGAUAGUUGGCGGGGUAACGGCCCACCAAGUCUACGAUCAGUAGCUGAUGUGAGAGCAUGAUCAGCCACACGGGCACUGAGACACGGGCCCGACUCCUACGGGAGGCAGCAGUAAGGAAUAUUGGUCAAUGGACGCAAGUCUGAACCAGCCAUGCCGCGUGAAGGAUUAAGGUCCUCUGGAUUGUAAACUUCUUUUAUCUGGGACGAAAAAAGGCGAUUCUUCGUCACUUGACGGUACCAGAUGAAUAAGCACCGGCUAACUCCGUGCCAGCCGCCGCCGUAAAAC
rnacentral:rRNA from 1 species